UGGGGAAUAUUGGACAAUGGGCGCAAGCCUGAUCCAGCCAUGCCGCGUGUGUGAAGAAGGCCUUUUGGUUGUAAAGCACUUUAAGCGAGGAGGAGGCUACUUGGAUUAAUACUCUAGGAUAGUGGACGUUACUCGCAGAAUAAGCACCGGCUAACCCUGUGCCAGCAGCCGCGGUAAUACAGAGGGUGCGAGCGUUAAUCGGAUUUACUGGGCGUAAAGCGUGCGUAGGCGGCUUUUUAAGUCGGAUGUGAAAUCCCUGAGCUUAACUUAGGAAUUGCAUUCGAUACUGGGAAGCUAGAGUAUGGGAGAGGAUGGUAGAAUUCCAGGUGUAGCGGUGAAAUGCGUAGAGAUCUGGAGGAAUACCGAUGGCGAAGGCAGCCAUCUGGCCUAAUACUGACGCUGAGGUACGAAAGCAUGGGGAGCAAACAGG
rnacentral:rRNA from 1 species